rnacentral:tRNA from 1 species
GGGCGAUUGGUGUAGUCUGGAUAUCAUAUCGGCCUUCUAAGCCGAUGACACGGGUUCGAAUCCUGUAUUGCCCACCA